rnacentral:rRNA from 1 species
AUUGAACGCUGGCGGCAUGCUUUACACAUGCAAGUCGGACGGCAGCGGGGUAGUGCUUGCACUACUGCCGGCGAGUGGCGAACGGGUGAGUAAUAUAUUGGAACGUACCGAGUAAUGGGGGAUAACCAAUCGAAAGAUUGGCUAAUACCGCAUACGCUCUGAGGAGGAAAGCAGGGGGCCUUCGGGCCUUGCGUUAUUCGAGCGGCCAAUAUCUGAUUAGCUAGUUGGUGGGGUAAGGGCCUACCAAGGCGACGAUCAGUAGCGGGUCUGAGAGGAUGAUCCGCCACACUGGGACUGAGACACGGCCCAGACUCCUACGGGGGGCAGCAGUGGGGAAUUUUGGACAAUGGGCGCAAGCCUGAUCCAGCCAUGCCGCGUGUCUGAAGAAGGCCUUCGGGUUGUAAAGGACUUUUGUUAGGGAAGAAAAAGGAGCGGUUAAUACCCGUUUCUGCUGACGGUACCUAAAGAAUAAGCACCGGCUAACUACGUG